rnacentral:tRNA from 1 species
GGGGCUGUGGCUCAGCGGUAGAGCACUUGCCUAGCAUGUGUGAGGCACUGGGUUCAAUCCUCAGCACCA